GACGAACGCUGGCGGCGUGCUUAACACAUGCAAGUCGAACGGAAAGGCCCUGCUUUUGUGGGGUGCUCGAGUGUCGAACGGGUGAGUAACACGUGAGUAACCUGCCCUUGACUUUGGGAUAACUUCAGGAAACUGGGGCUAAUACCGGAUAGGAGCUCCUGCUGCAUGGUGGGGGUUGGAAAGUUUCGGCGGUUGGGGAUGGACUCGCGGCUUAUCAGCUUGUUGGUGGGGUAGUGGCUUACCAAGGCUUUGACGGGUAGCCGGCCUGAGAGGGUGACCGGCCACAUUGGGACUGAGAUACGGCCCAGACUCCUACGGGCGGCAGCAGUGGGGAAUAUUGCACAAUGGGCGGAAGCCUGAUGCAGCAACGCCGCGUGCGGGAUGACGGCCUUCGGGUUGUAAACCGCUUUCGCCUGUGACGAAGCGUGAGUGACGGUAAUGGGUAAAGAAGCACCGGCUAACUACGUG
rnacentral:rRNA from 1 species